rnacentral:rRNA from 1 species
UGAGGAAUAUUGGUCAAUGGGCGCAAGCCUGAACCAGCCAUCCCGCGUGAAGGAUGAAGGUCCUAUGGAUUGUAAACUUCUUUUAUACACCAAGAAAAACACGAACGUGUUCGUGCCCGACGGUAGUGUAUGAAUAAGCAUCGGCUAACUCCGUGCCAGCAGCCGCGGUAAUACGGAGGAUGCAAGCGUUAUCCGGAUUCAUUGGGUUUAAAGGGUGCGUAGGCGGCUCUUUAAGUCAGUGGUGAAAUCCUGCCGCUUAACGGUAGAAUUGCCAUUGAUACUGAAGAGCUUGAGUACAGUUGAGGUAGGCGGAAUGUGUAGUGUAGCGGUGAAAUGCUUAGAUAUUACACAGAACACCAAUUGCGAAGGCAGCCUACUAAGUUGUUACUGACGCUGAUGCACGAAAGCGUGGGGAGCGAACAGG